rnacentral:rRNA from 1 species
UACGUAGGGUGCGAGCGUUGUCCGGAAUUAUUGGGCGUAAAGAGCUCGUAGGCGGCUUGUCGCGUCGGAUGUGAAAGCCCGGGGCUUAACUCCGGGUCUGCAUUCGAUACGGGCAGGCUAGAGUUCGGUAGGGGGAGAUCGGAAUUCCUGGUGUAGCGGUGAAAUGCGCAGAUAUCAGGAGGAACACCGGUGGCGAAGGCGGAUCUCUGGGCCGAUACUGACGCUGAGGAGCGAAAGCGUGGGGAGCAAACAGG